rnacentral:misc_RNA from 1 species
AAGUCGUAACAAGGUUUCCGUAGGUGAACCUGCGGAAGGAUCAUUAAAGAAUUAGGCUUCGCGGCCAAGUUCUCACCCUUUGUAUACCGAAACCAUGUUGCUUUGGCAGCCCGUCUCAUUUGCUCGGGCCUGCAGAGUUAAUCAACCUAGAAUCUCUGCUGUCUGAGUACUAUACAAUAGUUAAAA